rnacentral:snoRNA from 2 species
GGCCGGUGAUGCAUGAUCAAUUUGUCCGUACCAUCUGAGACUCUGUCUCUGACGAAUGCUCAAAUCCUUAAAUCUGAGGCCU